CAACCUGCCCUGAAGCGGGGGACAACAAGCCGAAAGGUUUGCUAAUACCGCAUGUGUAUCGGAAUGGCAUCAUUCAGGAUACAAAGCCGCAAGGCGCUUCAGGAUGGGCCCGCGGCCUAUCAGCUAGUUGGUGAGGUAACGGCUCACCAAGGCUUCGACGGGUAGCUGGUCUGAGAGGACGAUCAGCCGGAUUGGGACUGAGAUACGGCCCAG
rnacentral:rRNA from 1 species